ACUGGUUGAUCCUGCCAGACCCAACUGCUAUGGAGUUCAGACUAAGCCAUGCAAGUCGAGCGCUUCUCCAUGUAGGAGCGCGGCGAAAUGCUGAGUAACACGUUGCCAAUCUACCCUUUAGAGGAGGACAUGCGCGGGAAACUGCGUGUAAUCCACCAUAGAUGAUAGCUACUGGAAGGUGCUAUCAUUCAAAGGGGUUUGUUAACUAUGGGAUAAACCCGCUAAAGGACGAGGCUGCGGCGGAUUAGCUUGUUGGCGGGGUAGUGGCCCACCAAGGCUACAAUCCGUAGGGGCCAUGUGAGUGGUAGCCCCCAGAAGGAAACUGAAACACUGUUCCUAGCCCCACGGGGCGCAGCAGGCGCGGAACCUCCACAACGCACGAAAGUGUGAUGGGGUGAACUCCAGUGCUACUAGAGGGUAGCUUUUCUAGAGUCUAAAAACCUUUAGGAAUAAGGAGAGGACAAGGCUGGUGCCAGCCCCCGCGGUAAAACCAGCUCUUCGAGUGGUUGGGACUUUUACUGGGCUUAAAGCGCACGUAGCCGGCUAAGUAGGUCCUAGGUGAAAGCAUGCCGCUCAACGGUGUGAAUGGCCUGGGAUACCGCUUCGGCUUGGGACCGGAAGAGGUGCUGGGUACUCAAUGAGUAGGGGUGAAAUCCGUUGAUUCAUUGGGGACCACCGGUGGCGAAGGCGCAGCACUAGGACGGGUCCGACGGUGAGGAGCGAAAGCCAGGGGAGCAAACCGGAUUAGAUACCCGGGUAGUCCUGGCCGUAAACGAUGCGGACUAGGUGUUGGGCUAGCUUUGAGCUAGCUCAGUGCCGAAGCGAAAGCGAUAAGUCCGCCGCCUGGGGAGUACGAACGCAAGUUUGAAACUUAAAGGAAUUGACGGGGGAGCACCACAAGGGGUGAAGCCUGCGGUUUAAUUGGACCCAACACCGGGAAACUUACCGGGGGCGACAGCUGGAUGACUGUCAGACUGAUGAUCUUACUUGACUAGCUGAGAGGCGGUGCAUGGCCGUCGGCAGUUCGUGCCGUGAGGUGUCCUGUUAAGUCAGGCAACGAACGAAACCGGCGCUACUAGUUGCUAGUUUGUCUCUUCGAGGCACACGCACACUAGUGGGAUUGCCUGCGAUAAGUGGGAUGAAAGUGCCGGCCACGGCAGGUCAGUAUGCCCCGAAUCCCCCGGGCUACACGCGGGCUGCAAUGGUUAGAACAAUGAGUUGCGACGCCGAAAGGCGAAGCUAAUCUCCCAAAUCUAACCUCAGUUGGGAUCGUCGGCUGUAACCCGCCGACGUGAACAUGGAAUCCCUAGUAAUCGCGUGUCAUCAGCGCGCGGUGAAUACGUCCCUGCUCCUUGUACACACCGCCCGUCGCUGCACUUGAAUGAGCGUUGGGAGAGACCCUUUCGUCAUGUCAGGUUCGAUCCUCGCGCACGUAAGAGGGCAGAAGUCGUGACAAGGUA
rnacentral:rRNA from 1 species